CCUGGGUUCUGAUGAAGACCACGUUGUUGGCACCGCUCUCCACCGACUGGAACCGCCGCAGCUUCUGCUCCGUCGAGGCACGGAUCUGGCCAACCUCCUUCUUCAGGGCCGCCUCAACGUCGUCCUCAUCCUCCUCCCUGUCGCUUCCAGACAGCCUCUCCUCGUGAUCUGAAAACUUCACACAGUCUGUCGACGGACAGUUGCUGAAGGGGAGCGAGCAGCCCUCAGUCCUGCACUGCAACGCCACAUCCAACACCGACCCCUGCGCCCCUGGCUGGCGGAGUCCUGGAAGUGUCACAGUGUAGAGGGACCAGCUAAAAACAGAAGCUUUUUGAACAGGACAACAGAAAAAUGCUUUGCCAUGAUUUGGGCCAGCAUUUGACACACAGAGUUUUUUGGCUCUUCGACCGCAGUUGCACAGAGGGGGAGUUGGUUUUCCACUUCUCACAGCUCUUACAUGUGGAUUCAAGUUGACUGUGGAGUUGAGAAUGGCAGGAGACACUUUGGGCAAAUUUGAACUUCUCAAAAGUAAGGAAUGAUCAAAAGAUGGAGUCUUCUCUUGAUAUAUAGCAAAAGACUGUUUUUUUGCUGGUGGGAAUGUUUUUGGACUAGUUGGCUUUCUUUUAGGAACCUCUGAAGAAGUAGAGUAAUUUCCAGUUAGUGCUGAAAUGGUAUUUCCCUUUGCAAAUGGUAACUUAAAAGCUGAAAAAUUUGAAGUCUGCCUUUGCACUGUUCCUACAUUAUAGAUUGUAGUAUCAGGACUUUUGUAAAUGACAGGUUUCAGAGGUUCCAUGGAUACUGCACUUUUCUCCAAACUCUGAUUAUCUGAACUUGCCACAGCCAAUUCUUUUGAAAUUGUUUUUUCUUCAAACACUGUUAAACUAUCUGUACUCGAGUCAUCCUUGAGCUGAACAGAGUCUGACUUUUGUUCAUAUUGAGAUUCUGGUAUUAAAGCAACAUCUUCCCAGUCUGUCAGCAGAGACAAGCAGUCAGCACUGGUACUGAUCUCCUCACUGGAGACAGUAACUGAGGGGAUGGUAGUGGAG